rnacentral:rRNA from 1 species
AUGUACAAAUGGCUAGAAAAACCUCUUAGUCGGUGCAAUUACAAAUGGAUUUGGAAAGCCAAACUCCCUCUUAAGGUCCAUAUUUUUCUUUGGCAACUCUCUCAGGAUGCAGUGCUCACUAGGCAAGUGAUGCGCCAUCGUAAAUGGCCAAGGAACCCCGUGUGUUCCUUCUGCCAACAAAUUGAAACAUCUCAACACUUGUUCUUUGACUGCCCUGUUGCUAAAGUUGUCUGGCGAUCGAUUGGGGUCACUCUUGGGACAGACUUGUGUCCUCGUAAUUACUGGAAGUUCUUUGUUUGGUGUCAUUCCUUCCUGCCAGGAUAUGACUCUUUCUAUACCGUGGUGCUGGGGGCAGUCACUUGGUCCAUCUGGCUGGCUCGAAACAAAGCUACCUUUGAGAAAAAAGAUGAUCAAAUCUCCUUUUGA